AGACUAGAGUAAUGGAGGGGGAACCGGAAUUCUCGGUGUAGCAGUGAAAUGCGUAGAUAUCGAGAGGAACACUCGUGGCGAAGGCGGGUUCCUGGACAUUAACUGACGCUGAGGCACGAAGGCCAGGGGAGCGAAAGGGAUUAGAUACCCCUGUAGUCCUGGCAGUAAACGGUGCACGCUUGGUGUGCGGGGAAUCGACCCCCUGCGUGCCGGAGCUAACGCGUUAAGCGUGCCGCCUGGGGAGUACGGUCGCAAGAUUAAAACUCAAAGAAAUUGACGGGGACCCGCACAAGCGGUGGAGUAUGUGGCUUAAUUCGAUGCAACGCGAAGAACCUUACCUGGGCUUGACAUGUAAUGAACAACAUGUGAAAGCAUGCGACUCUUCGGAGGCGUUACACAGGUGCUGCAUGGCCGUCGUCAGCUCGUGUCGUGAGAUGUUUGGUUAAGUGCCACAACGAGCGCAACCCCUGUUGCCAGUUACCAGCACGUGAAGGUGGGGACUCUGGCGAGACUGCCCAGAUCAACUGGGAGGAAGGUGGGGAUGACGUCAGGUCAGUAUGGCCCUUAUGCCCAGGGCUGCACACGUACUACAAUGCCCAGUACAGAGGGGGCCGAAGCCGCGAGGCGGAGGAAAUCCUAAAAACUGGGCCCAGUUCGGACUGUAGGCUGCAACCCGCCUACACGAAGCCGGAAUCGCUAGUAAUGGCGCAUCAGCUACGGCGCCGUGAAUACGUUCCCGGGUCUUGUACACACCGCCCGUCACAUCAUGGAAGCCGGUCGCACCCGAAGUAUCUGAAGCCAACCGCAAGGAGGCAGGGUCCUAAGGUGAGACUGGUAACUGGGAUGAAGUCGUAACAAGGUAGCCGUAGGGGAACCUGCGGCUG
rnacentral:rRNA from 1 species